AAAAUGGGGACUGACUGCGCAUCUUAGCAAGUCUCAGUAAACUUCAGGUCAUAGGAAUUUUCGCAAACAUAAAAUAGAAUGAGAAUUGAAUGAUGCAUAGCUCUCUGCCUUUCUCUUGCUGAGCUAUGAAGCAUUUCUGAAAUUGAUAAUUUAGUAAAGGAAAAUAGAUUGACAAAAUGCCAAAAUUCUCUUGCGAUUUUCGAUGCCUUCUCGUUCCUGCCGCAUUUGCAUUCAUCUACAUCCAGAUGCGGCUUUUCGCUACACAGUCAGAGUAUGCAGAUCGCCUCGCUGCUGCUGUUGAAUCAGAAAACCAUUGUACAAGUCAAAUGCGAUUGCUAAUUGAUCAAAUAAGUAUGCAACAGGGAAGAAUUGUGGCUCUUGAAGAAGAAAGGAAGCGUCAAGGUGAAGAGUGUAGACAACUAAAGGCUCUUAUUGAAGAUCUUGAAAGAAAAGGCCUCCAAAAAGUGGCAGACAAGGCGCCAGUGGCUGCAGUUGUGAUUAUGGCAUGCAAUCGUGCUGAUUAUUUGGAAAGGACUAUUAAGUCUGUAUUGAAGUAUCAAAGCUCUAUUGCUUCAAGGUAUCCACUUUUUGUAUCCCAGGAUGGAUCCAACCCAGAUGUUAGAAGCAAGGCUUUGAGUUAUGAUCAACUAAUGUACAUGCAGCACUUAGAUUCUGAACCAGUGCAGACAGAAAGGCCUGGAGAGUUGAUUGCAUACUACAAGAUUGCACGGCAUUACAAAUGGGCAUUGGAUCAAUUGUUCUACAAGCAUAAAUUCAGUCGAGUGAUCAUACUUGAAGAUGAUAUGGAGAUUGCUCCUGAUUUUUUCAAUUACUUCGAGGCUGCAGCAGCUCUUCUUGAUAAAGACAAGUCCAUUAUGGCUGUUUCCUCAUGGAAUGACAAUGGACAAAAGCAAUUUGUGUAUGAUCCGUAUACACUUUAUCGGUCAGAUUUCUUUCCUGGACUGGGAUGGAUGCUUACUAGAUCAAUGUGGGAUGAACUAUCCCCUAAAUGGCCAAAAGCUUACUGGGAUGAUUGGUUGAGGUUGAAAGAGAAUCGCAAAGGUCGACAAUUUGUUCGUCCAGAAGUGUGCAGGACAUAUAACUUUGGUGAGCAGGGUUCUAGUUUGGGACAGUUUUUCAAACAAUAUCUUGAGCCUAUUAAGUUGAAUGAUGCCCAGGUUGACUGGAAAUCGAUGAAUUUGAGCUACCUGAUGGAGGACAACUAUACAAAAUACUUUGCCAACAUUUUGAAAAACGCAAAAGCUGUACACGGAAAUGAUGCUGUUCUUAAGGCAUACAAUAUAGAAGGUGAUGUUCGUAUUCAGUAUAAAGACCAAUCAGACUUCGAACGCAUUGCACGCCAGUUUGGUAUUUUUGAAGAAUGGAAGGAUGGAGUACCAAGGACAGCAUAUAAAGGAAUAGUUGUUUUCCGAUAUCAUACACAAAGACGAAUUUUCCUUGUUGGUCCUGAUUCUUUGAGGCGGCUUGGGGUUGAAGAUGCUUGAUGCUAAAUGGAGGUAAGACACUAUGCUCUAUGUGUAACGAUAUUGUACGUUUCUAUUUAUUGGGAGGGCAUAGCUGUUCCAGAUUGAUUUUGAUGCCAAAAUUGAGUACUUAAUUUAUAUCUUAUUAAUUAACAGGGUUUCUAGGGAUUUAUGAACUGGCGGAUUGACACAUUUGUGUGAAACGAGGAUUUGUUUAUACAUGGUUUAGUUAGUCAAGCAUGAUUACCUUGUGUAUAAUACCAUCAUGGAGCUGGAUGCAAUCAUCAUGUUUUUCUCGACACUUCCACCAAUUUAUUUGUCUCCCUUCUGCUAGUUAAUAUAUUGGAUGCUAAUUUUUGUACUUCUGAAAGUGGUUGCUGGUGGCUAGCUAGCGUUUGAUACACAUGUUUUCCCUGCAUAUUGACCACAAUUGCCUACGAAUUUUUGGUGUUUUGUACUUUAGUGUCUAGAAUUACUCUUUUUAUCUCUCGUGCUCUUUUUUGUUUCUUUUUUCUUUUCUUUUGGAUACAUUUGGCUUGAACUAAGACUAGAACUUGAGAUCUUCAGUACCACUAAGUUAUAGUUCAUUGGUCUCUUGCUUCUCUUUUCUAGUAGGCACCAAAUGAUGAUGUAAUGCUCUUUAUCGAUGUAUGGUACAUCCAAAGGUCAAUUAAGCUUCUAUAUGCAAAUUAUUCUUCUGAUAUU
rnacentral:misc_RNA from 1 species